GCAAGUCGAACGGUAACAGGAAGCAGCUUGCUGCUUCGCUGACGAGUGGCGGACGGGUGAGUAAUGUCUGGGAAACUGCCUGAUGGAGGGGGAUAACUACUGGAAACGGUAGCUAAUACCGCAUAACGUCGCAAGACCAAAGAGGGGGACCUUCGGGCCUCUUGCCAUCGGAUGUGCCCAGAUGGGAUUAGCUUGUAGGUGGGGUAACGGCUCACCUAGGCGACGAUCCCUAGCUGGUCUGAGAGGAUGACCAGCCACACUGGAACUGAGACACGGUCCAGACUCCUACGGGAGGCAGCAGUGGGGAAUAUUGCACAAUGGGCGCAAGCCUGAUGCAGCCAUGCCGCGUGUAUGAAGAAGGCCUUCGGGUUGUAAAGUACUUUCAGCGGGGAGGAAGGGAGUAAAGUUAAUACCUUUGCUCAUUGACGUUACCC
rnacentral:rRNA from 1 species